AUUUCCUUCGGGACUGAUUAUUUUGUGACUGAGUGGCGGACGGGUGAGUAACGCGUGGGUAACCUGCCUUGUACAGGGGGAUAACAGUUGGAAACGGCUGCUAAUACCGCAUAAGCGCACAGCUUCGCAUGGCUCAGUGUGAAAAACUCCGGUGGCAUAAGAUGGACCCGCGUUGGAUUAGCUAGUUGGUGAGGUAACGGCCCACCAAGGCGACGAUCCAUAGCCGACCUGAGAGGGUGAUCGGCCACAUUGGGACUGAGACACGGCCCAAACUCC
rnacentral:rRNA from 1 species